rnacentral:tRNA from 1 species
AAAGCUUUAAGUUAAAUAAACUAUUAACCUUCAAAGUUAAAAAUAUGCCCUAGUAUAAGCUUUA